ACCUGCACCCGGGAGGAAAGGCGAGGCUCUGCAUCUAGAUUUACCUCGUUCUCUUUUGUCUCCGCUUUUUUUUCACAUUUCCUUGCGACCCUGGCCCUUGAGCGACAAAAAGGGGAAGCCAAGGCUGGCCCGAGGAACGGAGAGGGCACAUGGCCUAGCCACAAGUGGAGCUUCUGCUCCGCCCGAAGGGAUGCGCUGGAGCGGCCUCUUCCUUCUGCCACGGUCUUUCUUUGCCAACUAGUAGUAGAGAUGGGGUUUCACCAGGUUAGCCAGGCUGGUCUUGAACUCCAGACCUCAAGGGAUCCGCCUGCCUCAGCUUUCCAAAGUGCUGGGAUUACAGGUGGAGACUGGACCUCAGAAGAGGGAGUGGGUGCCCCGAGAACUCACAGCUAGCGGACAGUGGAAAGGGCAGGAGCCGGACCAAGGUGAGGACAGUGGAACUGAAGGCCGCUGGUUACCUCUCCUGCCCUCCGCUGGCCACAGUGGAGAAGACAGCCCCUCCCUCCUGCUCUGACCUGACAGUGUUCAUCCAUCGCCCUGUAUUAGCGAAGAACAACAUCAAGCUGGCUAGCAAGGAACUGUAUACAGGGUCCAGCUGGGUAUCACACUGGAUCUCACCCAAAGCUUAGAUGUGAUCCAGCUCAGUAUCACAAAGCAGAACGAAAAGGAUGUGUUUGGGCUGAGAGGCCAUACAUUGGCUCCGGCAUGACGGGUGACUUCUUCCGAGUCUGGCUUCUGCAGCACACAGGGCUUCGCCAGCACCCAGCUCCUGCAGCAUGGGCAGCUCCUGUGACAGCAGGCGCCCGCAGCCUGCAAAGCGUCUCCAGUGCCGCCGCCUCAGUGAACCUCAACCAGCGGCACCUAGCAGCUUUCUCUGCCACCCUCUUCAGGUAGUUCUGUAGCAGCGCGUUUCUCAUGAGACACUUCCCUGUGAGCAGCUUUUUCUACCCUUGAGGAUGGAUUUCCAGCAAAUUCUGCCCAUGUGGUACCACAGCCACUUCUCUGCCAUUCAGUGAAACUGCCGUUGUGCCCUCUUCAAGGUCUGGAUCUAAGCCCAGGGACCAGGAAACCUCUUGCUUGAGUGCUGGAACUCAGGCCAGAAGGUAUGGCUGCUGCUAUGUGCUGUGACCAGAGAAUCAGAGUUCUCUUUACUUCUUACCAGCCAACCUCUUGAAAAUGCCUUUUUGUUUUUUGUUUUUUUUUGAGACGGAGUCUCGCUCUGUUGCCCAGGCAGUGCAGUGGCUCACUGCAACCUCCGCCUCCUGAGUUCAAGUGAUUCUCCUGCCUCAGCCUCACAAGUAGGUGGGAUUACAGGCAUGUGCCACCACGCCCAGCUAAUUUUGUAUUUUUAGUAGUGACGGGGUUUCUCCAUGUUGGUCAGGUUGGUCUCAAACUCUCGACCUCAGGUGAUCCACCUGUCUCAGCCUCCCAAAGUGCUGGGAUUACAGACGUUAGCCAGAGCGCCCAGUCUAAGCCCUUUAUAGCUUAA
rnacentral:lncRNA from 1 species